UUCCGAGUGUCACUAUACGAAAGUGCAGAACACAGGAUGCGUUCACACUUCCUUCUGCUCAUGCAGUACAUCGCUCCGAGCCUAUUGUGGUUUUCGUACCGAUGAGCGUCCCUCGGCUUAUUGGAUGUCUCCGUUUUCGCCCGGGCGAGUGCAGAGAUGUGAACUGUCUCGAUCCUCCGGGUAUAAAAUGGAAGUAUUCGCCCAACUCACUGAGGGGGCAACUGCUCCAUCAUCCGUCGAUUGUCUGAAACGUAAAUCCAAGAGAAUUAUCUCAUCUCGGACCAGAGCAUCCCAUUGACAAUAGGUUUUCUGUAAUUCAGUUACUAGAGGACAUUGACUAUCUCCAAGGGGUUUGAGUUGGUUAACAUGAUACCAACCCAACUUGUUUGGAGCGGUCUGGAUUCGAUAUACUGAUGGACUGGCUCAGUCCCGACAAAUCCGGAAAUUGUAAAGGGGCUCGGCAGAUGCAAUGACAGCAUAACCUUCUGUCCUAUUUCCAACGACCGCGGUUUUGCUCGCACCUCGAAACAAGCUUCGCUCUGCCGUUUUUUCCAUCAUGUAUUAUGGGCGGCAUCAUAAUAAGCCUCCAUAAAAGAGUCAA